AUGAUCAGUUAAGUAUAAAAGUAUUCUGAAAAAUUUAACCUUUGUAAAAAUUGUAUACUAUUAUACUGCAGCAUUUAUUUUUGACCAGUUUACAGUUUAACAACAAUACUGUAUUUGGAAAAUUAACAAAAAUAAUAAUCUUUGGUACAGUUAUAUAAAACUUGGACCAAAACAGAAAUUUUCUUUCCAUUGAGUAGGUUAAAAAUUUUCAUACCAUAAAGAAUAAAUGAUCAAAGUAAAUAACUAAAUUGUUAUUUAUAGAAUUAAUGUUUUUGGAAAAUGAUGUAGUAAAUAAUAGUUUGAACUUCGUACAGUUGGCUGUGCAAUCUUGCAUAGGUUUUACUGAUCAGACAAUGAAUUGGAAGGCAAGGUAUGGUUGUAAUAUUGAUCAAGCCAAAUUUGAAUCAGUGCUGCUUACCAAAGACUUCAUGCAUUUGAGUCUGAGUGCAUUUUUUGUGUGUACAUCACCACCAAAAGGAUUAAGCAAACAUUGUGACUAUUGAAAGCUUGUUCAACUUAAAACAUGAUACAAAGCAGAUGAAGAUUAAUGAUUUUUUAAAAUGUAAUGCAACUUGGAUUUAAUAGAAAAAACAUCAUUGAUGCCCUUUUAUUGAUAUAGUAAAUAUAUAUAUGUAAAUGUGCUUGUUAUAUACAGGAAUACUUUGCUUAGUGCGGCUUCACUCAGUGCUGACCCCGCUAUAUUACGGUUAGUAAUUUGAAGAAUAAAUUUCA
rnacentral:lncRNA from 1 species